GACGAACCGUACGAACGUUAUUCGGAAUCACUGGGCUUAAAGGGUGCGUAGGCGGCGCUGAAAGUUGGGUGUGAAAUCCCUCGGCUUAACCGAGGAAUUGCGCCCAAAACUACAGUGCUUGAGGGAGAUAGAGGUGAGUGGAACUUAGGGUGGAGCGGUGAAAUGCGUUGAUAUCCUAAGGAACACCAGUGGCGAAAGCGACUCACUGGGUCGUCUCUGACGCUGAGGCACGAAAGCUAGGGUAGCGAACGGG
rnacentral:rRNA from 1 species